UUUUCCUUUUCUGCUUGACUUCCCUUUUCAUGGAAAGCUGCCUGUGUUACUGAAAGAUUACUGUUUGCAUUUAGUACAGAUUUGUUCUGGUUAAUAUUUUAUUAGUUGCUAUUUUUAGCUUUAAUAAAAGACUACUUCUAACUCUUUUCUCUCCGGCCUUUUGUAAAUAGGUUGUGUGCAAAUUGAAGUGGUUGGAAAAUCUAUUGGUCGUGCACAUUUUAAAAACUCUUUGUGAAAUAAAGUGUUGGACUCAGACUUCCAAGUGGCCACCAGUCUGGAGCAAAGUAUAUUGAGAAGUAAAAUGGUUUGUUUCUUCAACUGCUCAUCCCCUUUUGACAUCUGUUCCCUUGGAGGAUGCCAGUGCCCCAGGACCUGGUGCUGGAGAUAACGGCAGCUGGAGCUCACCAGCUUCUUGGACUCACAAAGGUGUGAGCCGCAUGACUUCUCAGGUACUGACCACAUCCAGAAGGAAUUGGAAAUGAUGCAGAUCCUCAUUGCUCUGGGCCUGGUUUGCUGCCUGUCAUUCCUCAGGAGUUCCCUGGUCUACGGAGCCCAAGCUGUGCCAUUUAUAUCAGCACAACUCAGAAGAAGGUAAACGUGAAAUAAUAAUAGAUUUAACCUUGGAGACUGAACUACAGCGGAGGAGACCAGACUCUGAGCAUCCCGCAUCUACCCUUUUGAUCUUAUUAUUAUGUGACACAGAAGGAGAAGAAGGUUCUGCUGCUAGGGAAAAACAGAUCAUGGAUGGGAAGGAGUGGUCCGUAAAUUCCAAGUUUCAAACCGUCCUUAAAUUCCUAGCUGCAUCAGAAUCACAUAAAUUCUGAACCCUCUUCUAGACCUACUAUGUUCAAAUUUGGGUGGGUCAAACUGCAUCAUUUCAAUAACCACAGGAUACGUCUAAAGGAAAAAAAAAAUGACAGUGACUCUGCUCACAUGGUAAAACCCCUGACUUCCAACCCAUCUUGAGUAUUCUACUUGGACAACCAGUCGCAAUUUUCAAAGGAUCUGACAUAUAUAACUUACCUUCCUGGAAAGAGUUAAAAAUCCCUGUCAUAAUUUAUGGCAAUAGAAUACGCAAAUUCAACAUAAUAUUUUCAGUGCUACUCAGAGAAUUACAUUAAAAGAGCUACAUUUAGGGCCACCUGGGUGGCUCAGUGGGUUGAGUGGGUUUUUUUUUUUUUUAAUCGGUAUUUCCAUCAACAAUGUGUCAGAGCACUUGAUCUGUUGUGUGUUAUUCUUUGACCUCUCAUAUGUUGCAAAUAUUUUUUGACCUUAACAUUUGUUUUACGUUUGUUUGUAGAGGAUUUGGGGAGAUGUUUUACUUUUUAACGUAGUCAGAUUCUUCAGUUAUCUCUUUGUAAUGUCUUUGUUUUGACUCUUAGAAAGAUGAUCCCCACUGAGGACUCAUAUUAAAAUGUACCUAUUUUUGUAGUCAUUUCUGUUCUUUGUUUUAAAGUUUAUUUAUUUUGAGAGAGACAGCCAAGUAGGGGAUGGGCAGAGGGAGAGAGAGAGAAUCCCAAGCAGGCUCUGUGCUGGUAGCACAGAGCCCAAAGCGGGGCUCGAACCCACAAAGCCGUGAGAUCAUGACCUGAGCCGAUACCAAGAAGGGUUGCCUAAUGACUGGGGCCCCAAGGCGCCCUUGUAGUCACUUCUUAUAUUCACUCUCCCCUAGCUGGAAUUUAUCUGAGCACAUAGCAGGAAGUUAAAAUUCAACAUGAGCUUUCCCUUAAAAUGGUAAGCAAUUCUUCUAGCAUAAUUUAUUGUAUAAUUCUUCCUUUGCCACUCACUUUUGGUGCUAAUUUUAUACACACACACUCAUAGUAAGGUCUUUUUUUUUUAAUGUUUAUUUUUUGAGACAGAGAGAGACAGAGACAGGGCAUGAGCAGGGGAGGGGCAGAGAGAGGGAGACACGGGAUGUGAAGCAGGCUCACAGCUGUCAGCACAGAGCCCGAUACAGGACCUGAACUCACAAAUUGAGAGAUCGUGACCCGAGCCGAAGUUGGACGCUCAACUGAUGGAGCCCCCCAGGCACCCCAGUAAGGUCUUAUUCUUGUACAUAUUUAGUUUCAUUGAUCUAUUAUACCGGAACUAUAUUAUUUUAAUUAUUGCAAAUUUUGAUUUAUUUUUUUAAGAUUUUAUUUUAGUUUAUUAAAAUGAUUUUUCAUGUCUAUUUUUGAGAGAGACUUCAGCUCAGAUCAUGAUCUCAUGGUUGAUGACUUUGAACCCCACAUCAGGCUUUGUGCUAUCAGAGCAGAACCUGUUUUGGAUUGUCUGUCCCCCCACCUCUCUCUCAAAAAAUAAAUAAAUAAACUUAAAAAAAAGUUACA
ensembl:lncRNA